rnacentral:rRNA from 1 species
UACGUAGGGUGCGAGCGUUAAUCGGAAUUACUGGGCGUAAAGCGUGCGCAGGCGGUUCGUUGUGUCGGUGGUGAAAUCCCCGGGCUUAACCUGGGAAUGGCCAUGGAAACUGGCGAACUGGAGUGCGGCAGAGGGGGGUGGAAUUCCGCGUGUAGCAGUGAAAUGCGUAGAGAUGUGGAGGAAUACCGAUGGCGAAGGCAGCCCCCUGGGCCAAUACUGACGCUCAUGCACGAAAGCGUGGGGAGCAAACAGG